rnacentral:RNase_P_RNA from 1 species
UUUGAGCAGUCGCGGUUUGAUCUGAAAAUAGGUCAGGCUGAGGAAAGUCCACGCACGCACGAGCUGAGAUGCUUGUAGUGUUCGUAUUUAGCCCAAUAAGCUAAAGAAUUUUAAUUACGGCGAAAAAAGUGCUAAGUCAUUCUACUGAUAUGCAUGAAUAUUCUGAAAAGUGCCACAGUGACGAAGCAAAAGUGGAAACACUUUUGAUGGAACGAGGUAAACCCUGCGAGCGUGCAACCCAAACUUGGUGGGGGCGUUCAAUCUAAGAAAAUGAACUAAAGAUUGGAUUGCUACUAAUUUAGCAAAGAUAGAUGGCUGCUACAGGUAUUUAUGCCACAAAUACCCGAACAGAACGUGGCUUACAG